AGUGAACGCUGGCGGUAGGCCUAACACAUGCAAGUCGAACGGCAGCACAGUAAGAGCUUGCUCUUACGGGUGGCGAGUGGCGGACGGGUGAGGAAUACAUCGGAAUCUACUUUUUCGUAGGGGAUAACGUAGGGAAACUUACGCUAAUACCGCAUACGACCUACGGGUGAAAGUAGGGGAUCUUCGGACCUUGCGCGAUUGAAUGAGCCGAUGUCGGAUUAGCUAGUUGGCGGGGUAAAGGCCCACCAAGGCGACGAUCCGUAGCUGGUCUGAGAGGAUGAUCAGCCACACUGGAACUGAGACACGGUCCAGACUCCUACGGGAGGCAGCAGUGGGGAAUAUUGGACAAUGGGCGCAAGCCUGAUCCAGCCAUACCGCGUGGGUGAAGAAGGCCUUCGGGUUGUAAAGCCCUUUUGUUGGGAAAGAAAAGCAGCAGGUUAAUACCCCGCUGUUCUGACGGUACCCAAAGAAUAAGCACCGGCUAACUUCGUG
rnacentral:rRNA from 1 species